rnacentral:lncRNA from 1 species
AUGCUUUUGUGGGCUGAGUGGGUUUGGGAAUUGCUUAGAUUUUCCAAAAAAAGAAUCUGAGGUUCCUUGUCAGAGAACCUUUGAAACAGCAUACCUUGCUGGGUGAGCCUUGGGAAAAGCUGAGGUAGAUGAGGUCUUCAGUAGGUGGUACAGUAAAUGGUAUCUUUCGGAACCUGAGGAGUUAUUAGUGGAAUUGGAGACUCAGGGUGAUUAAAAUCUAUAACGUGAUUAGGGCUCUAUGCAGUGACUUAAACUCAACUCUCACCCCCACUAUAAUGGGGCAGACUCUGGACCUUUUCUUCUGGCCUAGACUUCACCACCCAAGCAUGACUGACCAUUGAAUUGAUAAGUCGUGUUGAAUGUUCAAAGGUAGCGUCUCUCGACGAAAAGAAUCAAUAAACAAUCUAUGAUAAAAAUAGACAAGUUUUACUUAAGCCAAACUGAGGGGUCUAGGCCAGAGGAUAGCUUCUGAAAUAGUGCUGAGGAGCUACUCCAGAGAAGCAGGCUUUCCCACACAGUUUUGUGUCUUCUUAGAACGCAACAUCACACAAAUCAGUUACAUUCCUUGAGCUUUCAGAAAAACAAACCAGCAUGUCCACAGCAGGUCAGGGUGGCCUUGGCACCUGGGAAGGGAGUCUUAUCAUCAAAGGAGGACCAGUGUUGGUAUCCCAGGAAGGGGUACAUUUAUUCAAUAUGUGUUUUUAAUGUAGACAUUGCUUCUGCAAUGAUGUACAGUGUAUGCUGAGAGGACACAAAUAGGCUAAUUGUUCUAGUUGGCAGAAAACUCAAGUUAGCUCAUGCAUAAGCUAGAAUGGCUUCCCUGUACCUCACCAUGUGAACAUUUCUUUUAUCAAGUCCCUACAUGUGACAGCUCAGGGUAGAGUGACACAGGUACACUCUACAUGGUGGUGUUAGAAUUCAAGAUUGUCCAGGGUCCAGUGACCAAGACUUUCAUAACAGGCUACCCAGGACCCCAGCGGCUGUUAGCAAAACACAAAACCUUCAAAGUCAAGUGGGUCCAGACAGCCAACCACAGGAACGUGCAUGUCUCUCACAUCCAGCAUGGCCAAGUACAGCCAACGCCGAAAUUUGCCUGCACCCCCUAUCUGCUGGGCCUGAAGAAGAGGACAGGGAGGCCUCUGUGUUGGCAACCCGGAGGACAUGUGGGCAAGGGGUGGAUUAAGUACUGGAUGUUUGCUCCCCUGUUCCUUGCAUGCUGACUUUCCACACCCUCUGGUGGGGUCCUGACUCUGGUUCCCUGCUCCUACAGGGGCAUCUUCCUGGGGCCAGCUGGGCAUCAGUGGGAUCUGUGGUUCUGUAUCAGUCUUAAGUGGGGUCUGUUUCAGAGAUGCUCAUUCAUUCUCCAGCAAGCAUGACCUGAGACCUAGGGUCUGCCAGUCUUAUGGGGCAGAGGCUUUACAAGGACAUAUGUCAGCAGAGUGACUUUUGAGAUUUUCUUGGACAUGAUCUUGGGUGAGGUGCUUGUCUGGGUGAUCUCCUCAGGAGCUCUGGGAGUUUAAGACUUUUUGCCACUUUCCAAGUCCAGGAAAGAGAAGACAUUGUGCCCUAGUGUGUAGGAUUAAGGGGUCCAUACUCACCCUCCACGUACUGCUUUCCUUUUGCCUGACACCCUUUGGCCUUUGCCAUAGAAAGAGCUGCUAAGUGAGCGUAUGCUAAGCGCUGCUGUGUUUUGUUUUUUUUCAUUUUUUAAAAGUUUUAUUGAAGUAUAGUCGAUUUACAAGGUUGUGAUAAUUUUUGCUAUACAACAAAGUGAUCAGUUAUACAUGUACACACAUCCAUUCUCUUUCAGAUUCUCUUCCCACCCAGAUGGUCACAGAAUAUUGGGUAGAGUUGUCUGUGUUAAAAGCAGGUGUGUUUUUGGUGAUGGUCAAACUUCCCACCUUGUUUCAGAGAGUGGAACGUUAAAUUUGCCUCUUAUCUUUCUUUGCAGAAUAGUUUGUAUUCUACUCGGCUAUCCUUGAAGAAACUACUCCAUCAAUUAAUUUUUUAGAGACAGAAAAUAGUUAACAGAAGUAGAAAACUAAUGAUCAACAUUGUAUUAAAAAAAAAGAUUAGGAACCAAUGAUUGGUGAAGACAUGGUCUGUCUAGAGACAACACCAAUAUGACCAUUGGUCGUAAAAUUUGUAUGAAAAUGAGCACUUAAGCUCUUACCAUGGCUGGUUCUAGUGCAUCUGGGAGGUAUCUGACAAAUUUCAGUUUUUGGAGAAAAAGAUAAGCCCAGAUGCCCUGAUUCCACCACUUCAGAAAGCACUUGAUCCCCUGUGGGCUUCCUUUGUUUACAGCUGACUGCCAUGAAUCUCAGCAUAUCUUUAAGCACUGUUGCACUAAAGUGGCACUUACUUUAAUGAAUAUUUGAUAAAGAAAGAGUCCAGUGGAAGGAGUAAAUGUGUAUUAUACCUACCACAUCAAAUUUAUUUCAAAAAGGACACAUUUCCAACAAGUGCAUGCUGGGCUGGGCAGGGGGUGGGGGUUAUACAAACAGAUAGCUCUUAGCUUAUAUAGGAUGGAGGCACUAGUUGUAGAUGAGUUUCUACACAUGGUACAGCUGUUUUCAAGCUGUUUUUAGAUUAUUGGAAUAUUUCCGACAAGGUAAAAAAUACCAGUCCAAAGAGUUAUAUACAUAUUGAACUUAACACAUGCAGAGAGCUAAAAAUAAAACAAUACGUAAUGCUAGAGGAGUACUAUGAAAUCAUUUUCUGUAUUUUAAUACAAAUAUAUACAGAACAAAUUGUUUUUGCAUUUCGUUAGAUGCCUUCACUAAUGUAGUGUCAUAUGUAAAGAAGAGGAAUAUGGCUACUAAGACCACUUAAAAGAAAGAUAAGGACUAGUGCAACUUUUGGGGUAGUUACUCCAUUUACUUGUAGAUAGAUUUUUAGAGAAAACAAACAUGAUUUGUGAUAGCGCCAUCAUAAUUAUAAACCAAUUAUUGGCCCUUAUAUCUAGGAAGUUAUUAACUGCAAUUGAACAAAAGCUUGUUCCAAACCAGAGAGGCAUAAUGUACACUGUAUAAGGAUUCCUUUUUCAAGCAGAUUUUCACCCAGUAAAUAAAAUUGCUUUUUUUCAGAGAUGGCCAAUCUAAGCAACCCAAGAAACAGUAUUGCUCCUUCCUGAUCAGUUAGUUUAUCCCAGAUCCUUCUGGGCUACAGAGGCAGCGUCUGAUCUUUAUUUUUCCUUCCCUAUUAUUAUUGCAAGUAGUAUAUAUACUCUGGAUGACUGUCACUUGUUGCCAUGGUCUUUGUCACUACCACACUGGCCUGCAGUCUGUGUACAUGGUGCAUCAGGAAGCCCUAGGGGCUCACGGUGGGCAGAUGACCAGUAAAUCCCUUUGGAGUAAUACUUCUUUUUCUUUGGAUGUCAUCCCUGUCCCUGGACCCUGCCGGAUGGGCUUUCAGUCCAAGGUCUGUUGCAUUCCAGUUUGGGGACCCUCCUGGGCUUCUUUUGCUUUAUACGAAAAACAAAUGGUCUGGUACUUCCCCUUUCCACCCUGACAUGCUUUGACUUGACAUUCUAAGUAUAGCAACAAUCAGCUAAUCAAGACAUACUUAGAGGGUGAUAGCAGAGUAGCCUGAAUUCAAUAAGGCCACUUGCAGCCAGGACGUAGAAGAAAUCCAUGGGGUGUGUGUCUGUGUGUGUGUGUGUCUGUGCGCACAUGUGCAUGUGUUUCAUUUUUUUGGUCUUUUUUUUUUUUGAGGCUGUCAGUGACCUCUCUCUUUUUUUUUUUUUAAAUUGCAGUUCUCUGUGCUAUACAGUAGGGCCCCAUUGCCAUCCAUCCCCAAGCCCCUGUCCAUCAUCCAUCCCACUCCCUCCCCCUUUCCCCCUGUCAUCCACAAGUCUGCUUUCCUUGGCCAUGAUCUGUUUCCUUUCUCUUUUGGGGUUUUUUUUUGGGGGGGGCACACCCACGGCAUAUGGAGGUUCCCAUGCUAGGGGUCGUAUCAGAGCUUAUAGCUGCCCAACACAGCCACAGCCACGCCAGACCCGAGCUGUGUCUGUGACCUAAACUACAGCUCAGGGCAAUGCCAGAUCCUUAACCCACUGAGCAAGGCCAGGGAUCAAACCUAGCUCCUCAUGGAUACUAGUCAGGUUUGUUAACCACUGAGCCACAACAGGAACUCCUUAUUACCUUUCUUAUGUCUGAUGCAUUGAACUCAAUCAUCUGCAGUUUCUCUUUUCAGAUGACAUACAUUUUCUUUAAUUAGUGUAAGAUGAAUUUAAUCACCCUUUGAGCCUAUUUCUCCUGAUAUUUUCACAACCCCUUUGAAUAACAGAAGUCACCAUGGUGUAUUAAAAGCACUGGGUCCUUGGUUUCAUUUUAAUGUACUGGGACCACUAGGUCACACUGGUUUUCUUUAGGAUGUAGAUCUCACCCUUCUAGAAACAAAAUGCUUCCUGCAGUUUUGGGGUAGAAGCUUCCUUUCUCUGCUUUUUCACUAAAUGGGAUGCCUUCUAGUAAAACUGAAGGACAAUACAUCCAUUUUCCUUGACAGUUUGCCCUUUGUAAAUUUUGGAGUUGAAACUAGUAUCUAAUUACUUUUUUUUCCCCCAAAUCCAGCAUCAACAUUAACAAUCAUUUAUUAUUUAUGUGGAAAUUUAUAUAGUUGCAAACUACUUAUAAUACUUAAGAGCAUACAACGUCUGUGGGAGACAGCUCAAUACUGUAUUCGAUGACCUUAUAAUUUUCUGACAAGGAAUUUGAGGCUCAAAAAGUCACUGGCUCCCAUCCACACACUUUGGGUUGCAGAACCAAGAUCCCAGGCAUUAUUGUUCAACCUCUCUCUUCAUUGUAGGUCACUGAUUCUUAUUAUUUUUCUUGACCUUCCAACUGCAUUGUCCUGCUACCAUGUAAAGGAUGAAAGAAAAUCUAUGCUGAUGUUUAUUUGUUAUCCUACUAAACUCUAGGAUGUUGACUAGGGUCUUUUCCUGAUGAAUCGUAGUUAGUGACCUGCCUUUCUGGUGAUUUUUCUUGACAUCAUUUUCAUAUGGUCAUUCUUCUUCAGCACCUGAUCACAGAGACACUGUAUUUGUAGAGUUUCUGGAGUUCUAUCCAAAACUUUAAAUGUAUCUAGAAUCCAAAUCCCCAGAUUGGAAAUCAUCAAGAAGAUCCUUUUUUUAUCCUGCAGCUGCGUGUUCACUGGCACACUGACCACGAGGCUGUGCCCUGUGAAACAACCAUCUCCAGACAGGACCAGCCAAACCUUCUCUUGGAAUGGCUUGCUUCUUAUUAAAUCACUUUACUUUUGAAAAAUUGUUUUCUCUUUUAUUUUUAUUUUAGGACAUAGACUUUGGAGGAAAAGGUUUUUAGCCAGGUUGGCAGUGUUGGAUUUCUUAUGUUGACAUGGAAGGAAUAAGGCAGGCUCCUGAUCGCCAUAUUCAGUCCAGAAGAUGCUACACCUACAUGGAAACCUACAUGUCUCUUUUAAAUCCCUGGUGAAUAAAUAAGUGCAUGUGCAGCACCUUUAUCCCUAUGAAGGGCUCUGGUUCGGGGCCAGUAAAGAAGUGAUAUUAUUCUUGGAUGGAGUGUACUUAAAGACAUUUGGAAAAUUAGACUUCGUCAAUCUUAGGAUUUUUUUAAAUUGAAAUUUAGUUGAUUCAUAAUACUCUAUUAGUUUUAGGUGUACAGCAUAGUUUCGAAAUUUUUAUAGAUUAUAGUUCAUCUGAAGUUAUUAUUAAAUAUAGGCUAUAUUCCCUGUCCUAUCCAAUAUAUCCUUGGAGCUUAUUUAUUUUAUAUUUUGUAGUUUGCAUCUCUUAAUGCCCUUUCCCUGUCUUGCCCUUCUCCCUUUCCUCUUCUGCACUGGUAACCACUGCUUUGUUCUCUGUAUCUGUGAAUGUGUUUCUGUUUUCUGAUAUUAAUGCUUAUAUUCAUUUUUUCUUUUAUUUUUAGAUUCCACAUAUAAGUUAAAGCAUAGGGUAUUGUCUUUGUCUGACCUAUUUCACUAAGAAUAGUGCCCAGGAGUUCCCAUCGUGGCUCAGUGGUUAAUGAAUCCAACUAGGAACCAUGAGAUUGUGGGUUCGAUUGAUCCCUGACCUCACAGCGUUGCCGUGAGCUGUGGUGUAGGUUGCAGACACGGCUCAGAUCUUGAGUUACUGUGGCUCUGGCAUAGGCUGACAGCUACAGCUCUAAUUAGACCCCUAGCCUGGGAACCUCCAUAUGCUGUGGAAGCGGCCCUAGAAA